rfam:Erinaceus europaeus unplaced genomic scaffold scaffold00126, whole genome shotgun sequence
AUGAUUGCAUUUCUUCAGUGUUCUUGUCUUUUGUUGCUUUUUUUACUUCUUUUAUGUGUAGAGAGUACCACAGACCAUGAAGACAAGCCAUAGCUCUUUCUCUCUCUCCUGAGCAUGAAGCUGGUUCUAGGUGUCGCUUUUUGCAGCUGCCUUUUGCCAUAGAUGAUCCUUCUUCUCUCCCAAUGGGAGAGUAAGAGGGAGAGAGCAUAGUUUGGGUGGU